rnacentral:rRNA from 1 species
AUCUAAAACGAUGCGCCGAUGUAAUGUCUCAAGAUUGAGGCCGGUUGGGUUUAAAGAUCUACAGCGACUGGACCCGNUCGUUUCUAACCACACGUUGACUCAUGGCUCAGACGUGAGACUGCCGGGGCGCGUCAGGACNAACGCUGGGCGAGGCGCUGACCCUGAGUACCUGACAGAUGCNAGCGACUCGGGAGAGAAGAAGGCUGGCGGCCCGGGGNGCNUUAGUCGGGCGGGACAGAGACUNGANCUCAGAACNGCGCUGGCGGCGAAUCAUAUACUUAUGAUAAGAAAUUUUGGUNGACUAAACUUACNCCCGGNAAUAAACCGGUUCGNCCUAGAAUACCAGAAGACUUGAGAGUGCGUACUCUUUAUCGCGUGUUCCUUNAGCUAGACAAAUCAGCGUAGUAGCUAGGCACCCGAGGAAUUAGCGGGGACUUUGAUCCGUAUUANUAACAGGAAGUGGGGGGGUCACCCUAGGCGGCGUUCCGACCCACUUAAAAAGGCCCUANAAGCUGGAAGUGCUCGCAUAACGGUCAUAAGCGGGUGGCCUUAGCAAGCACGAGAAAGUGGCAAGGCACCCCAGGAACUCGACCCGAUAAAAGGCNCAAGACCUCCGAAGGAAGCCACGGGNUAGCCACAACCGGAGCUCCACCCUAAAACCUAAGGGGGGCAAGCCGUUCGAAGGCNAACGCACUCGGGGGCGCACCAAUAAAUCUUGCCCCUAACAGGGAGGGAAGCGGNGCCAAAAGACGAACGCCUUAGNGCAGGAGGGACCACAUANCCUCCAACCUUCNGAACCCAAGAGACGAGGAGGNGGUCACAGUUAAGCAAAACGGGCCACCAUUGGGGAAACUNCGUGACGGCNCAGAAUACGAGGCUCCCAGGAGCAGNGUUUAGAANNCCNUUUAGGACCAAGGGCACCGAGGGGGGCGAACCGCAGAAGGAGCAGGUACCAGGAAUAAGACAGGACGCUUAUCCACAAAGUAAAAAGGCCCCAGACCGNGAGACAAAAGGAAAAUAGCCAACCAGGUUAAAAACCACCGCCUNAAGCGAUUAAAAACCNAAGAAGAGCCUAAAGGUCCAAGCUGCCUAUAAGAAAACCCUAGCGGCGGAAAACGCCCCUCCAAAAGAUUGAAAGGGAACCAGAACCGGCCGCCAAACGAGGAACCUGAAGNAACCGUUNNACCGUGGGNUGGNCCCCAACCGGGAAUAGACACCUGCNCGGCGGGGCAAAUAAAUUCCCUGUGGUNGGCCGGUAUGAGGCACAACACAGCGCCGAGAAUGGAGGCAACCCGCCNAAAACACAAGAGAUACAACGAACGCANCUGUAACAAAUGGGNUGACAAACAAUCACACCCCCGGGGCGGGCCCCCAUAAUACACACGGGCGCAAAGCCAUUGGNGGAGAAUAACGCGCCCAACUNGGGGUACCACNCCCCACGAGGAGAGACACCCGAGGGGCUCACAAUACGGG